GCUGAGUUCCCUCCAUGUUGGUUGUUUGGCCUGAGGUGACCCAGCACUGGAGGCUACUGGCUCUUUGGUGGGGCUAAUGGUGGACUCUGGGAGGGCUCACGCCAAGGAGUACUUCCCAGAACUUCUGCUGCCAGUGUCCUUGUCCCUGUGGUGAGCCACAGCCACCCCCCACCUCUUCAGGAGACCCUCCAACACUAGCAGUAUAGGUUUUUACAAGAUACUGAAUACAGGUCCCUGUGCUACACAGGAAAAGACUGAAAACAAAACCAAAAGGGAUCAAUCCAGGAAGAAGAGAAGAGCAGGAGGAGACAGCAGCAGGAGCAGCUGGAGGCUGGAAAGGAGCUGGAUGUGGAGGAUGGAGGAGAGACCGCGAAACCAGCACCUGGAAA